GCCGAAGUGGUGGAAUCGGUAGACACAAGGGACUUAAAAUCCCUUGCUCUUAGGGGCGUACGAGUUCAAGUCUCGUCUUCGGCA
rnacentral:tRNA from 1 species